UUACGACCAUAUCAUAUUGAAACACCCUUUCUCGCACGAUCAACGAAGUGAAGCAACGUCGAGCUUGGUCAGUAUCUAGAUAGGUGACCGAUUGGGAAUACCAGAUGCCA